CAAUAGCGUAUAUUAAAGUUGUUGCGGUUAAAAAGCUCGUAGUUGGAUCUCGGCAGGCAGGGGGUGGUUCGCUCUUAGCGCUACUGCCCCAUUUGCCUGUGUGAUUGGCGGAGGUUUCGGGGUGCUCUUCGUUGAGUGACCCGGGGCGCCGUCAGGUUUACUUUGAAAAAAUUAGAGUGCUCAAAGCAGGCUUUUCACGCUUGAAUGUUCGUGCAUGGAAUAAUGGAAUAGGAACUCGUUUCUAUUUUGUUGGUUUUCGGAAAUCGAGUUAAUGAUUAAUAGGGACAAUUGGGGGCAUUAGUAUUCAGACGACAGAGGUGAAAUUCUUGGACCGUCUGAAGACUAACUACUGCGAAAGCAUUUGCCAAGAGUGUUUUCAUUAA
rnacentral:rRNA from 1 species